rnacentral:rRNA from 1 species
GGCGAACGCUGGCGGCGUGCUUAACACAUGCAAGUCGAACGGUAAGGCCCUUCGGGGUACACGAGUGGCGAACGGGUGAGUAACACGUGGGUGAUCUGCCCUGCACUUCGGGAUAAGCCUGGGAAACUGGGUCUAAUACCGGAUAGGACCACUGCCUGCAUGGGUGGUGGUGGAAAGCUUUUGCGGUGUGGGAUGGGCCCGCGGCCUAUCAGCUUGUUGGUGGGGUGAUGGCCUACCAAGGCGACGACGGGUAGCCGGCCUGAGAGGGUAACCGGCCACGCGGGGACUGAGAUACGGCCCAGACUCCUACGGGAGGCAGCAGUGGGGAAUAUUGCACAAUGGGCGCAAGCCUGAUGCAGCGACGCCGCGUGAGGGAUGACGGCCUUCGGGUUGUAAACCUCUUUCAGCACCGACGAAGCGCAAGUGACGGUAGGUGCAGAAGAAGGACCGGCCAACUACGUGCCAGCAGCCGCCGUAA